GCCCCCUUGGCUUAAUGGAUAAAGCACAAGCCUCCGGAGCUUGGGAUGGAAGUUCGAUUCUUCCAGGGGGCA
rfam:Omnitrophica WOR_2 bacterium GWA2_53_43 gwa2_scaffold_4905, whole genome shotgun sequence.